UACGUAGGGUGCAAGCGUUGUCCGGAAUUAUUGGGCGUAAAGAGCUCGUAGGCGGUUUGUCGCGUCGAAUGUGAAAACCCGGGGCUCAACCCCGGGCCUGCAUUCGAUACGGGCAGACUAGAGUUCGGUAGGGGAGUCUGGAAUUCCUGGUGUAGCGGUGAAAUGCGCAGAUAUCAGGAGGAACACCGGUGGCGAAGGCGGGACUCUGGGCCGAUACUGACGCUGAUGCACGAAAGCUGGGGGAGCAAACAGG
rnacentral:rRNA from 1 species